rnacentral:rRNA from 1 species
CCUACGGGAGGCUGCAGUGGGGAAUAUUGGACAAUGGGCGAAAGCCUGAUCCAGCCAUGCCGCGUGUGUGAAGAAGGCCUUCGGGUUGUAAAGCACUUUCAGUGGGGAAGAAAGCCUUGGGGCUAAUACCCUCGAGGAAGGACAUCACCCACAGAAGAAGCACCGGCUAACUCCGUGCCAGCAGCCGCGGUAAUACGGAGGGUGCGAGCGUUAAUCGGAAUUACUGGGCGUAAAGCGCGCGUAGGCGGUCUGAUAAGCCGGUUGUGAAAGCCCCGGGCUCAACCUGGGAACGGCAUCCGGAACUGUCAGGCUAGAGUGCAGGAGAGGAAGGUAGAAUUCCCGGUGUAGCGGUGAAAUGCGUAGAGAUCGGGAGGAAUAACAGUGGCGAAGGCGGCCUUCUGGACUGACACUGACGCUGAGGUGCGAAAGCGUGGGUAGCAAACAGGAUUAGAUACCCUGGUAGUC